UACGAAGGGGGCUAGCGUUGCUCGGAAUCACUGGGCGUAAAGGGUGCGUAGGCGGGUCUUUAAGUCAGGGGUGAAAUCCUGGAGCUCAACUCCAGAACUGCCUUUGAUACUGAGGAUCUCGAGUCCGGGAGAGGUGAGUGGAACUCCGAGUGUAGAGGUGAAAUUCGUAGAUAUUCGCAAGAACACCAGUGGCGAAGGCGGCUCACUGGCCCGUAACUGACGCUGAGGCACGAAAGCGUGGGGAGCAAACAGG
rnacentral:rRNA from 1 species